UUACGGCCAUAUCACGUUGAAACACAGGUUUCCGUACGACCACCGAAGUUAAGCAACGUUGAUCUUGGUUAGUACCUAUAUGGGUGACAGCUUUAGAAUAUCAGGUGCUGUAA